rnacentral:lncRNA from 1 species
UAAUAAUAAAAGUAAUACUCUUGCCUAAUGAAUUCUUCAAUGAUGAUAAUGCUCCAAUGGUGGAUAAUGGUCACUUCGGUGACGAAGAUGUUGCGGUGCUUGCGAGCAUCGUGGUUUGUUGAGGAAAGAGGGAGCAGAUACUGUUGGUUGGUCCGGUUGCCGGGCGUACCCAUCUCUCCUCUCCGUAAGGACUUAGUCAUGGUGC